rnacentral:lncRNA from 1 species
GGGAGAGUUGAGGAAGUAAGUUUGUUAUUAAUGCUAAGUUAUUUUGGCAAUUUAGUUGUUUUUUGCUUAAAUUUAAUAUUUUUUUUUUAAGUUUUAUUCUACUCUCCAUGGUUAUUAAGGAAAAAUUUUCAAAAUGAAAAGGGAGAAAUUGAUUUUUUGUCUUUUUACUUGACUUAAAGUUUGUAUUAUGCUUACUAAAGUUGAU